rnacentral:rRNA from 1 species
UACAGAGGGUGCAAGCGUUAAUCGGAAUUACUGGGCGUAAAGCGUGCGUAGACGGUUAUGUAAGUCGGGUGUGAAAGCCCCGGGCUCAACCUGGGAAUGCCAUUCGAGACUGCAUAGCUAGGGUGCGGAAGAGGGAAGCGGAAUUUCAGGUGUAGCGGUGAAAUGCGUAGAUAUCUGAAGGAACACCAGUGGCGAAAGCGGCUCCCUGGUCCAGCACCGACGUUCAGGCACGAAAGCGUGGGGAGCAAACAGG